rnacentral:lncRNA from 1 species
CCCGGAACAAGAGGCCGCCUUGUCCCCAGAGUCAUGCAGAAGGCACACGGUGACUCACACCCUCGUAAUCCCUUUGCUGGGUUUCCCCUCACUCCACAGGAAAGGAACUUUUUUCUCCUUCUAUUCUUGGCGCAGCCCAUGGUCCCAGCCAUGCUUGUCCCAUAGCUGUGGAGUGUGUUGGAGUGUGACUGCAGUGAAACCCACAGGUCAGGGUGUUUAGCAGCCAAGGAAGGACAAGAGCACCAAGAGGCUCACUAAGUGACCAUCAAAAUCUUCAGACCAUUGCAAUAGGGCUUGUGCAGAGGGUUACUGCAGACCCCCACAGGCUUCUGUGUCAUGUGGAUCCAGCUGCCCGAGAUGCUGAGGGAAAGCACAUAGCAUCACUUGCAUUCCCAAAUGUGCUUAGCAGCUACCAAGCCUCGCCAGAGGCCUGGCCAGCCAGCCCCAUGUGGGUGAUAGCCCUGAGGACCACCAGCACCCUGAACUCAGAGUAUCAGAUCAAGACAAACUGCACAUGAUGUGGUCGAGAUCUGGCGUAGCAUCCCCCAAGCUGGCACUUCUAUCUGAAGACCUCAACAGCAAAAACGGAGGACUAGCUGUACUGAGGACAAGCAGACAUCAUAGGGAACUUUUCCUAACACAAUACCUGUUGUUUGACUCAGUUGCUCUGUGACCAGUAACAUCUCCCUUGUUUUCAUGGCUGACAGACAAAAGAGCAGCAGCUCCAAAGAUUUCUCAAGGCGAUUUUUUUCAGACUAAGCAGGACACAGGACCCAAGUAAUCAUCCUCAGAGGUUUACAUCAUCCUCUGGUGUCUUGCCCAUCAAAAUAGAGCCUGCUUCAAAGAAAUGACAUAGCCCCCUCGAUGGCAAAGUGCAUGCACUGGGAGAGAGCUCUUGGAUUUCUGACUGCUUCAAAGCACACGUCCUUGACACAGAAAGUUUCAAGCUUACCAGAAGUUCUUCAACUAUUUUUUGUUUCAUUUUCCCAGUGCCCACCAGAUUAGAACACAGCUUGGCAAUGUCACUAGAAGAAAGAGAGAGAAGAAAAUGACAAAAAAAACAGCAGCCAGUGUUUCAACUACAAACACUGUUCGAAGAGUUUGUGAAACAUGCCA